GAGCCGCAUGUGGCUCGUGAGCCGCAGUUUGCCGACCACGGCUCUGGCAACAAGAGGAGUGAUUAUAAAAUCAGCGAAGGAAUAGAACCAAGAACUUCACUUCGAACCCAGUCUUCCCAAGGGCAGUGUCUCUGCCCUCCCUGCACAUAAUGUUAUUUUUUCUGUUUCCAUGUGGCUGAAAAUUAGGGGAGGACCCCGAGGACAGGGGUGGUAUCUUUUUCUGAUCUUUGAAUUCUCAGUGCCCAGCUCAGGUCCUGGUGGAGGGGGUUUAGGAAUGAAUAUUGAAUGAAUGAAAGGCUUGAGUUACCAUGGAAAAAAUCCCCGAGAGGGGUAUUUUUAUACUAACAUGUCAAUAACUGCUUUUUCUUCCUUCUCCCAAAGUGGGAGAGAGAGUAGGAUGCCAGGAACCUGAAAAGUAAGCAAAAGAUUAAAAAACAACAAUCAGAAACCCAAAAGGGGUGUCUGGGCAGGUCAAAGGUUCCUGGCCUAGAUUCUGGGUUCCCAACUGACACCUCCCUCUCUGCAGCCAGAGCCCCCCCCCCCCCACUGCCAGUUCCUAUCCAGCCACUGGGCCGGUGGUCUUUGCAAAUGGGGAAACUGAGUUUCAGCGGCUGAAAUCAACAUCUAAGGUCACACAGCCAGGCACUGAAUUCAUCUUAUACUUUCUAUUUAAUUUCAAAGGCAGAUAGCUUGGAAGUUUUCUUUCUAAGAAAAAAAAACAAACUAAUCACAGAUAUUUUCAUAUGGAGCCCUCAAAUGAUCUUUUAUCCUUUAGAAAGUGUGUGUUUAAAAGAAAAAAAAAGGUUCUGGCAACGAUUAAAUGGCACUUGCUAAACUUUUACUGUUUUCGAGUCCUUCCCAGGGAACCAAAGGUCACUGAGAAUGCCACUCUGGCCUGCGUCCCUGCCUGAGUUGCAGGUCUCUCAGAGCCUGAGAGAGGGCCCCCCACGCCAGACAAAUUGCAGAAUUGCCUGGCAUGCCAGGAAGCUGGCCCCACUAGACAGUUUCCGAGAAAGACCUAGGGACUGAAAGUAGGAAUAGUUGUACUUGACCCAGGGUCCAGUGGGGCAAAUGACACUCUUCUGGGGCCUGGCUCUGCAUAGAGUGGGUGAGGAGGGGCCAGGAGGGAGGAUGAGCUGGCUCUACCUUCCCCCUGAAGUUGCCAGUGAGGCUCCUUGUACAGUCUUUGCUUUCCAAAAAGCCUCUGAUUCAUAAGGGAAAGGGAGCAGCUGCACUCAUUCUCUCUGAGACGUCAGGGAUUUAAGGAGAUAGUAUGCUUCCCCUGAGGUGGGCAUUGCAGAUCAUAGAAUCUGUAUUAGAAGGGGCCCUAGUGGUCACACAAGUCAAUGGACCUCACACUUGGCUGCAGACCAGAAUUGCCUUUUGAAGAAGACAGACUCCUGUGGCCCAGUGAAAACAACUGCAUCCAAACUUCUGGGGGCAGACCUUAGGGAUCUCCUGGUACCCUAGCAACUAGAACCCCGGGACCUGAAUCCAACUGCCUGCAGCAAACACGCGAAUCUCCACCAAAGACUAAUCCAGCCUUGGCCUGAACUUGGGGAAAAGCAACCUCACCCACCCCAAACGCCUCAUCCUCCUACUACACCUCCAGCUCUACUUACAGUAAUAUUGUUAUCAGGUCUUUGACUCCUGCCCCCAGGUUGCCCUUGCCGGCCCUCCCAGUCCCAGCUUGUACCCGGAUGCCCUCCUCACUCUGCACUUUCCCAGGUGGGGAUAAUGUUCCCCUGUCUUCUCGGGGUUAUUGUGAAAAAAACAGAGGGCGAAUGAGCACAAACCGUAAGGUCCUCAACUGAUACCAGGCACAAGCUCCUCAACAAAGGAACCUCCUCCUCUCUGCUCUUCCUGAGCUCCUGGCUCCUGAGGUAUCCAUGUGCCCCAACAAGGCACACAAAGGACCUUCCAGGUCUCUGGGAAGGGACUGACCGACCACUUGGCACCACCUAGUGGCCCAUGGUGUGUGGUGCUUGGCCAGGGUGCUCUGAGAUUGAGGGUUUGAGCAUGACCAUUGGCCCUGUGGGGGUGGGCAGAAUAUGCCGGCCCCUCAGAAAGGAUGAGGUCAUGCCUAGCUAAGCCCUCCCCUGGCCACUCCCCUGCGGAUACAUGACGGUGGGCACUCCACCAGUCCCCAUCUCAGCCCACAUCUCACUGGCAAGGGAGGCUAAGGGUUGUCUUCCAGCUCUGCCAGUGCCUCACUCCCAGGACUCAGCCGCCUCCCCUGCAGAACUGGAGUAACCAUCCCUGCCUCUCAUCCCUGCCUGGAACGGUGGUGUGUUCUUUCCUGUAUCAACCAUUUUAUGAAGUGUCUCCUUUCUAACGUCAUCAUGCUGAGAGCUGUGGGGAUACAAGGGCUGCUAAGCCACGUUUCUUGCUACCAAGGCACCUGCCUUAUUCUAGACCAGUGGUUCUCAACCUAGGCUGCACAUUAG